UACGGGGGGGGCAAGCGUUGUUCGGAAUUACUGGGCGUAAAGGGCUCGUAGGCGGCCAACUAAGUCAGACGUGAAAUCCCUCGGCUUAACCGGGGAACUGCGUCUGAUACUGGAUGGCUUGAGGUUGGGAGAGGGAUGCGGAAUUCCCGGUGUAGCGGUGAAAUGCGCAGAUAUCGGGAAGAACACCCGUGGCGAAGGCGGCUCUCUGGGACGGUACUGACGCUGAGACGCGAAAGCGUGGGGAGCGAACAGG
rnacentral:rRNA from 1 species